AAGAAGCCUUUAUAAUAUGUUUGAAAACCCAGCUUCCCUUGACAGUUGUUUGAAAAGGCUUACAGAGGUUUGAAUUGUUUUGAAUUCAGUGUCAAAGUGCUUGGUUUCUCUCCUUCUUGUGUAAUUUUAUGGUUAUGAAACCAUAGCUGAAUGUAGCCUUUUAGGACAGCUAUGAGCUUGGAAUCCAUACUCAGCUUCUGUCUAAAGCCGAUUCAGGUUCAAUAACAACAGCUGAAAUGUUUAAUGUGACAACACUAAAAACCAUGAUGAAUGUGAAAAUUACAACUUAGGUUCCAGAAUAUCAGUCUCUUCAGAACAUAAAACCAACACUAAAAAAGUUAUUUGCUUUUUUUUUUUCCUGGCAAAUUUAAAAUAGUGAGCAAAGAGGAAGGGAUUUUAUCCUUCAAAGACAAAUAACACUCUCUGUUACUGUUGCUUGUGGUAUUCUUAGUUUUCAGUCACUUGAUUAACCAAUAUUUGUUAAGCAUCUCAUGUAUACUGUCUGCUUGGACUGGGUUUCCAAGAAAUAAAAGCAUGGAAGACAUGGUGUCUAUCCUUCAGAAGUGUCUGGUUUAGCUGAAGGGGUAAAAAUGGUGCAUUGAAAAUUAAGAGAAUAUAGGCAAAACUUUGGUACUGACUUCAAGUUCAAAAAAGAGAGAGAACUCUAGAGUUCCCGUUGUGGCGCGCAGUGUCAGAUUUGUUAACUACUGAGUCAUGAUGGGAACUCCCAUAAGAUCACAGAUUUUUUUUGGCGGGGGAGGUCUUUUUUAGGGCCACACCCACGGCAUAUGGAGGUUUCCAGGCUAGGGGUCUAAUUGGAACCGUAGCCGCCAACCUAUACCACAGCCACAGCAACUCAGGAUCUUUAACCCACUGAGUGAGGCCAGGGAUUGAACCUGCAACUUCACGGUUACUAGUCAGGUUUGUUAACCACUGAGCCAUGAUGGGAACUUCUAGUUUGUUGAGAUAUUUUCAAAGAGAGGUUGGUACUUAAUCAAGCCCUCCAUACAGAGCCCCACUGUCUUACUUAGCACCUUUGUGCAAAUGAGGAACAAACACCCUUUUGCCUUCUCCUUCAGGCUCCUACAGUCCCUCUCUCCAUAGGGACUGCCCAUGAGGAGUUGAUACUAGAUUUUAGACCUCAUUUGUCACUGAAGCCAGGUUCCCUUGUGCAGUGAACAACCUGCAUCGCUGUACAGUGAGCACCUUUUUUGGAAGAAUAGUUUGGAUUUCUCUAGGGAAAGGAAGGAGAGAAGAUGUGAGGGAACAGCAUGAGUAAGGCAAAGGAUGAGAAAGAGAAUGUUCUAUUCAGUGUAUAUUGUGAAGAUAAGUGAACGAAGGUGGAAGAUAUUUGUUGGCAAAGAGUAAGGUGCUGUUUUGCUUCCCUUUGCCUCACCUUUUCUAGUGUAUAUUUCCCAUUGACAAAUAUUAACCAAUCAGCUUUCUGCUUACUAGUUCCAAACUUAAUUAUUAUAAAAAUUAUGUCAAUUUAUAUGCAUCCAUCUCUUCUAGAGAUAAUAAUGUAGUACUCAAAAAUAUCAGUGCUCACAGAAGAAUUUCUGCACAAGUCAUAGUUGCCUGCUAAUCACACAGGUCAGUGUUAUACAUUGAAACGGUAUAUUGGAAGCACGUUUCUAAAUAUAUAGUUUAUAUGUUGGCAGCAACUUUAUUAUGUUGGGUAUUAAAAUAAGUAUUUUGUCAGGAAUAAUUCAUCUGGUUAAAUAUAAACUUAACCUUAAUAUAACGUCUCGAUGGCUAAUAUUUUCCCCCACAUACAAACAUAGUAUGUUCUCUCUGGGGAAUAAUUUGAGUAAUAGAGAAUUCUGUUAAAAAGAAAAAAGAAAUCAUUCAGCGGGAAGCAACUCUUUUAAUAUUUGUUUGUGGGAUUUUGUUUGUUUGUUUAUUUGUUUGUUUUGGCUGUGCCCAAGACCUGUGAAAAUUCCUGGGCCAGGGAUUGAGGUUGUGCCAUAACAGCAACCUGAGCUGCUGAAGUGACAAUGCUGGAUCCUUAACCUGCUUGAGCCCCAAGAGAACUCCAUUAAUAUUUGGAUGAAUAGGUUUUUAAUUUUUAACGGCUUUCCUAUAUAUAGUUUAUGUUUUACUUUUCAAAAUCAUUUAUCAUUAUAUUACCACAUGAUUUUUUUUUUUUUUUUUAAAAAAAGCUCUCUCAAAUUCUGAAGCACCUUUUGGGCCUAACAGCCCAUUGGUCAUCUGGGCUCCCUCCCUAGCUUGCGUUCAUGUGCUCUAUUCACAUAUGUUCCCACGUUCCAUAGGGCCUUCUCAAUUCUUUUGAAUUUUCUUUUUCCCCCAACGCACAAGGCGAUUGCUAUCAGCUUCUUUCUAUUCCUGUGCUGGCCCCUAAAUGUAGCAGUUCCUACUAUUGUGAUGCUGCCUUCCCCCUGGGUUACAGUGAGUCUGGGAACUGUGACUCAGAUGCAUAUCCAGGAAAGGUUGAACUCAGUUAUGUGCACAAGCAAAACCCGGUGUGAACUUUAAGGAGGUGAGUAUCGUUAAUGCCUCAUACCUUAUAGGGUGUGUGGCUUUAUGUCUUUGUUGUUAUUGUUGUUAAUAUUUUGCUUUUUUUGUCUUUUUUUUUUUUAGGGCCACACUUGGAGCAUAUGCAGGUUCCCAGGCUAGGGGUCCAGUUGGAGCUGUAGCUGCUGGCCUAAGCCACAGACACAGCAACGUGGGAUCCGAGCCACAUCUGCAACCUACACUGCAGCUCAGGGCAGCGCUGGAUCCUUAACCCACUGAGUGAGGCCAGGGAUUGAACCAGAGUCCUCAUGGAUGCUAGUCAGGUUCAUUAAUCGCUGAGUCAUGACCAGAACUCUUACUGUUGUUAAUAUUUUGGUUUUGGCUUUGGGUUUUUUUUUUUUUUGACUGCAUCAAUGGCAUGUGGAAGAUCCUAGGCCAGGGAUCAAACCUGUGCAACCAGAGCUACAGCUGUGACCAUGCUGGAUCUUUAACCUGCCAAGCCAUCAGGGAACUCCUUUAUGUCGUGAUUAUAGGCCCACAGAGGACUGUUUUGAUUAAAGAUGAAUUCUAUAAAAGAGUUUCAGGACAUCGUCCCCCCAUUUCUCAUUUCUCUUUAAGAUGGAAUGAAUACCCACAGAAUCUUAAUUCAUUUUACCACAAAGAAAGGGGUUUGAGGAGUUCCUGCUGUGGAUCCAGUAUUGUCUCUGUAGCAGCUUGGUCACUGAAGAGGUGUGGUUUCCCUCCUGGCCUGGAAGUUUCCACAUGCUGUGGAAGCAGCCAAAAAAAAAAAAAAAAAAAAAAAAAAAAGGGGAAGUGCUUUGAUCUUACCAAGUAAUGGCUCCAUCUAGAAAACUUUUAUUGUCAGAAUCACUGUCAUCAUCAUAUCAUCAUUAUGGCUAAAAUACAUUCAGUGUUUAAAUACUCCGUACUGUGAUUGAAGCAUCUGAUGUAUUAUCACAUGUAAGCAGCACAAGAGCUCCUCAGUAAACACUGUCAUUAUCCCGAGUUUACACUUGAGGAAGUAGAAUCUCAUCAAACAGGUGUGCAGAGUUAGGAUUUGAAGCUACAUUUGUCUUUAAUCUCAUGCUUUUAAAGAAAUAUAAUUCAGGGCAGUUCUGGAACUUCUGAGCCUAGGCAUUAAGAAGGCCUGGCAUGGUUGAUUGGUUUUGGACAAGAGUCAAAAAGAUAAUUCAGUAGAGGAUAAAUAGUCUUUUCAACAAAUGGUGCUGGGACAGCUGGAUAGCCACAUGCAAAUAAACAGAGCUUGUCCCUUGCCUCAUGCCUUAAAAAAAAAAAAAUUUAACUUGAAAUGGAUUAUAGAAUUAAGUGUAAGAACUGAAACUAUGAAACUCUUAGAAGAAAUCAUAGGAAUAACUUUUCAUGGGCUUGUAUUAGGCAGUGUUUCUGACAUAUGGUACCAAAAGCACAAGGAACAAAACAGAAAGAUGGAUAAAUUGGACUCCAUAAAGUUAAAAACUCUGGGGUUACAAACAAUACCAUCAAGAAAGCGAGAAGAAGCCGUUCCCGGGGUGGUCUAGUAGUUAAGACGCAGGGCUUUCACUGCUGUGGCUGGGGUUCAAGCCCUGGUCUGGGAGCUGAGAUCCCACAUCAAGCCUCUGUACCCUGCGGAAAAAAAAUAAAUAAAUAAAUAAAUAAAGAAGUAGAAAGUGAAAAAACAACCCAUAGAAUAGGAGAAAAUAUCUACAAAAUCAUUUGUCUGAUUAAGGACUUGGGUCAAAGAAUAUAUAAAGAAUAUUUAAAGUUCAAUAAUAAAAGGCAAGUAACCUAAUCUUUAAAAGGACAAAGGACCAGAACAGACAUUUCUCCAAAGAAGAUAUGUAAAUGGGCAAUAAUCACAUAAAAACAUGCUCAGUAUCAUUAAUUAUCAGGGAAAUGCAACUCAAAACAACAUUGACAGAGCUCUUCACACUCACUAGGAGAAUCCAAAUAGAAAAGAAGAGCUGACACCAAAUGUUGGGGAGGAUAUGGGGAAACUGGAACUCUCGGACUUUCCCGGUAGGAAUGUAAAGUAGCACAGACACUUUGGAAAACAGUCUGGCAGUUUCUCCAUAGGUUACAAAGAGUUACCAUUAUGACCCAACAAUUCUACUCCUUGAUGCAUAUCCAAGAGAAAAGAAAACAUAUGUCCAUGUAAAAACUUGUAUAUGAAUUCUCAAAGUAACAGCAACCAAAAAAAAACCCCAAAUGGCAACAACCCAAAUGUCCAUCAGCGGAGGCAUGGAUAAACUUAAUGUGGUAUAUUCAUACAAUGGAAUAGUAUUUGACAGUAAAAAAGAUGAAAUACUAAUAUACGCUACACCAUGAUGAAUGAGGCAUGUUGACAACAUCGUAAGUGAAAGAAACAAGUCACACAGGACCACAUAUUGUAUGAUUCUGUUUAUAUGAACUAUCUGUAAGAGGCAAAUUCAUAGAUAUAGGAGGCACACUAGUCUUUGCCUAGGGCAGGGGGAAUGGGAAUGGGGGUGAUUAUUAGCGGUACGAGGUUUCCUUUGCGGUACAACAGUAUGUAUAUACUGAAAACCAUUGAAUUUUACAUGUUAUAUGGGCUAGUUGUCUGCUAAGUAAAAUAUAUCUUAAUAAUAUCUUAACAUGUAUUAAUUAAAGAAUGAAAGUUCUGGCAGUAGUUCUUGCUAUGGCAUAGUAGGUUAAGAAGACUACUGCAGGAGUUCCCCUUCUGGCUCAGUGGUAACAAACCCGACUAUUCAUGAGGUUGUGGGUUCAAUCCCUACCCUCUCUCAGAGGGUUAAGGAUCUGGGGUUGCCGAGAGCUGUGGUGUAGGUCUCAGACUCGGCUCAGAUCUGGCUUGUGGCUAUGGCAUAGGCCAGCAGCUGUAGCUCUGAUUUGACCCCUAGCCUGGGUACUCCCAUAUCCUGCACCUGUGGCCAUUAAAAAAAAAAAAAAAA
rnacentral:lncRNA from 1 species